GACGAACCGUGCGAACGUUGUUCGGAAUCACUGGGCUUAAAGGGCGCGUAGGCGGGCUGACAAGUCUGGGGUGAAAUGCCGCGGCUCAACCGUGGAACUGCCUCAGAUACUGUCGGCCUCGAGGGAGGUAGGGGCGUGCGGAACUGUAGGUGGAGCGGUGAAAUGCGUUGAUAUCUACAGGAACUCCGGUGGCGAAAGCGGCGUGCUGGACCUUUUCUGACGCUGAGGCGCGAAAGCUAGGGGAGCAAACGGG
rnacentral:rRNA from 1 species